rnacentral:rRNA from 1 species
GACAGAGGUGCCGAGCGUUAGGCGGAAUCACUGGGCUUAAAGCGUGUGUAGGCGGACCGUUAAGUGCCUUGUGAAAUCCCCCGGCUCAACCGGGGAACGGCUGGGCAUACUGGCGGUCUUGAGCCACCUAGGGGCGAGCGGAACAAGCGGUGGAGUGGUGAAAUGCGUAGAUAUCGCUUGGAACGCCGACGGUGAAAACAGCUCGCUGGGGGUGUGCUGACGCUGAGACACGAAAGCCAGGGGAGCGAACGGG